CAUGGUCAACGGAAGCCGGCUUGGGUCUCUUGGGAUGUGAUGAUGAGACCAAAACACUUGGGAGGUCUGGGGUUCAAAGACUUAGAGCUAUUCAACCUAGCUUUGUUGGCCCGACAAGCUUGGAGACUUUUUAAUGAACCUUCUACCUUGAGUGCCGGAAUACUCAAAGCAAGCUACUUCCCCGAGUCGACAUUACUAGAGGCUCAACUUGGAGCUCGUCCCUCUCAGAUUUGGCGAGCAACACUCGAGGGGAGAGAUGUAAUGAAGCAAGGUAUUAUUAGGAGGAUUGGGAACGGUCAGACCACAGAUAUCUGGAUGAACAAUCGGAUACCAAAGGAACACACACCAAGGCCCAUCACUUCCCUAGUGCAAAACCCACCGAGGAAGGUGGCGGAGCUACUACAGCCAACCACCGGAGCAUGGAACGCGGACUUGGUCCGGUCUGUGUUCAUACGGUUUGAUGCGGAUGCGAUCUUGAGAAACCCAGUUUGUACGUGCAACAUAGAGGACUUCUAG
rnacentral:rRNA from 1 species